rnacentral:lncRNA from 1 species
GGUCUUGCUCCGUUGCCCAGACUGGAAUGCAGUGGCAUGAUCAACACUCACUGCAGCCUCGAACUCCUGGGCUCCAGAGAUGCUCCUGCCUCAGCCUCCCAAUCGGCUGGGACUACAGGCACACGCCACCAUGCCUGGAUAAUUUUUUUUUUCUUUUGUAGAGAUGGGGCCUUAUUAGGUUGCCCAGACUGGUCUUGAACUGCUGGAGCCAAGUGAUCCUCCUGCCCUAACCCUAACCCAAAGUGCGGGGAUUACAGGCAGGAGCCAACGUGCUUGGCCAGACUCCAUGGUCUCUUACCUGGACCAGGACGAUGGCCCCACCCAGGCCCUCAGAACUGUGGGAUGAGGUGUUUGCUUCUGGCUCACCCACGAGAAAGAAACUCCCGGAAGGAAGGGACCGUGUCUGGAGCGCUCCAACUCCAGGCCCCAGACUGCAGGUAUCCCUUGCCAACAGAGCUGAGGCCAGCAGGGGAAACCAUUCCUGCCACCUGGACUAAGAAUGAGAUCCUCUUGAAAAAAACAAUAUUAAGAAGUGGGCUCUUCCCAUCACGCCACCAGAGUCCCAGGAAGCCAGGGAUGUGGGUGUCUAAUGGUCCGGGACAAGAUGAUGGGAAACUUCACAUGGAGAAGAAAAUGCCCAAGAAUGACUGAAACUGUCUGCAAGGUCCUGCUAAGGGAGCUGGCAGGUGCACCAGGUAUGGCGAGAUGCAAAGCAAGGAGCCCACUGCAUCGUUCCCUGGAAGGACAAGUGCAGAGGAGACCACAGAUGCCUGCGCAUUUAGCGGGAGUAUGGCAGUGCCAUCAUGGGGGAAAGGCUGUGUGACAAAUGGUAUGGAGGAGACUGACUGUCCCUUAGAAAAUGGGAAAGGAGCCAGGCGCGGUGGCUCACGCCUGUCAUCCCAGCACUGUGGGAGGCCGAGGCGGGGGGAUCACUUGAGGUCCGGAGUUCAAGACCAGCCUGGCCAACACGGUGAAACCCCGUCUCUACUAAAAAUGCAAAAACUAGCCAGGCAUGCUGGCGUGCGCCUUUAGUCCCAGCUACUCGGUAGGCUGAGAUGGGAGAAUUGCUUAAACCCAGGAGGUGAAUGUUGCAGUGAGCCGAGAUCGCGCCACUACACUCCAGCCUGGGUGACAGAGUGAGACUCUUUCA